AUGCAGUCGAGCGGAACGAGUUAUCUGAACCUUCGGGGAACGAUAACGGCGUCGAGCGGCGGACGGGUGAGUAAUGCCUAGGAAAUUGCCCUGAUGUGGGGGAUAACCAUUGGAAACGAUGGCUAAUACCGCAUGAUGCCUACGGGCCAAAGAGGGGGACCUUCGGGCCUCUCGCGUCAGGAUAUGCCUAGGUGGGAUUAGCUAGUUGGUGAGGUAAGGGCUCACCAAGGCGACGAUCCCUAGCUGGUCUGAGAGGAUGAUCAGCCACACUGGAACUGAGACACGGUCCAGACUCCUACGGGAGGCAGCAGUGGGGAAUAUUGCACAAUGGGCGCAAGCCUGAUGCAGCCAUGCCGCGUGUGUGAAGAAGGCCUUCGGGUUGUAAAGCACUUUCAGUCGUGAGGAAGGUGGUGUAGUUAAUAGCUGCAUUAUUUGACGUUAGCGACAGAAGAAGCACCGGCUAA
rnacentral:rRNA from 1 species